GGACCCGCACAAGUAGUGGAGCAUGUGGUUUAAUUCGAAGAUACGCGCAGAACCUUACCAACACUUGACAUGUUCGUCGCGACUUUAAGAGAUUAAAGUUUUCGGUUCGGCCGGACGAAACACAGGUGCUGCAUGGCUGUCGUCAGCUCGUGUCGUGAGAUGUUGGUUAAGUCCCGCAACGAGCGCAACCCUCACUUUUAGUUGCCAUCAUUUAGUUGGGCACUCUGAAAAGAACUGCCAGUGAUAAGCUGGAGGAAGGUGGGGAUGACGUCAAGUCCUCAUGGCCCUUACGUGUUGGGCUACACACGUGCUACAAUGGGAAUACAGACGGACGCUAAGCCGCGAGGUGGUG
rnacentral:rRNA from 1 species